rnacentral:rRNA from 1 species
GAUGAACGCUGACAGAAUGCUUAACACAUGCAAGUCGAUGGGGAAGUGGUGCUUGCACCAUGGCAACCAUGGCGGACGGGUGAGUAACGCGUAAGGGACUUACCUGCAGGACUGGGAUAACAGGGGGAAACUCCUGACAAGACCGGAUAAUGUCAUGGAGCUGCAUGGCUUUAUGAUGAAAGGAGACGCCUGCGGAGAGCCUUGCGUCCUAUUAGCUAGUUGGUGAGGUAAUGGCUCACCAAGGCGAAGAUAGGUAGCCGGCCUGAGAGGGUGGACGGCCACAAGGGGACUGAGAUACGGCCCUUACUCCUACGGGAGGCAGCAGUGGGGAAUAUUGGACAAUGGGGGCAACCCUGAUCCAGCAAUUCUGUGUGCACGAAGAAGGUUUUCGGAUUGUAAAGGGCUUUCAGCAGGGAAGAAGUAAGUGACGGUACCUGCAGAAGAAGCGACGGCUAAAUACGUG